AUCCAGUUGAUGAGUCCCGAAUAGGACGAAAAGCGCAUUCUGAAU
rnacentral:hammerhead_ribozyme from 1 species